rnacentral:rRNA from 1 species
UACGGGGGGGGCAAGCGUUGUUCGGAAUUACUGGGCGUAAAGGGUUUGUAGGUGGCUUGCUAAGUCAGACGUGAAAUCCCUCAGCUUAACUGGGGAACUGCGUCUGAUACUGGCGAGCUUGAGUGCAGGAGAGGAACGCGGAAUUCCAGGUGUAGCGGUGAAAUGCGUAGAUAUCUGGAGGAACACCGGUGGCGAAGGCGGCAUCCUGGACCGGCAUUGACGCUGAGGAGCGAAAGCCAGGGGAGCAAACGGG